GCUGCUUGUCAGGCCAGGAAGACAGCAGCCCUGAUGAUCAGUUCUUCCUAAAGCCAUCCGGCUCCUGGGGAGAGGCAGGACAGCCCCCCAGGGCAGGGAGAGCACUCGGAGGGGCCAGCAGGAGGCGUCCGGCUCAAGGUCUUCAACGCCACCUUUUAUGAUGAAAGUGUCCUUGAAUGAGAGAGUGGUGGGCAGUGACGCACGGCUUUGUGAAUAGCCUGUCAAGCACCGAGCUGCAAACUUUAACAUGGAGAAUUUUACGGCAUGUGAAUUACUUCUCCAUUAAAAAACCUUUUUUUUUUUUUUGAAAAUCAC
rnacentral:lncRNA from 10 species